CCUACGGGUGGCAGCAGUGGGGGAUAUUGCACAAUGGGGGGAACCCUGAUGCAGCGACGCCGCGUGGGUGAAGGAGGGUUUCGGAGCGUAAAGCCCUAUCGGCAGGGAAGAAGAAGGACGGUACCUGACUAAGAAGCCCCGGCGAACUACGUGACAGCAGCCGCGGUAAUACGCAGGGGGCAAGCGUUAGCCGGAUUUACUGGGGGUAAAGGGGGCGCAGACGGCAGCGGAAGCCAGGAGUGAAAGACCGGGGCCCAACCCCGGGACUGCUCUUGGAACUGCGCGGCUUGAGUGCAGGAGAGGCAGGCGGAAUUCCUGGUGUAGCGGUGAAAUGCGUAGAUAUCAGGAGGAACACCGGUGGCGAAGGCGGCCUGCUGGACUGCGACUGACGUUGAGGCCCGAAAGCGUGGGGAGCAAACAGGAUUAGAUACCCCUGUAGUC
rnacentral:rRNA from 1 species